CCGGUUUGGUCGCGCACAUUGGUUCGAAAAUGCGUAAAGCAGAAGAAGAAGAAUUUGUUGGAUUAAUUAAAUGAACAAAUUGUAUUAUUUCGUACCCUAGGACGACUUUAUUAUGUUUUGUUCAGUGAAGCUUUUUGUACGUUUACAAGAUAUUAGCAAAAUCUAUGACGGUCCCAUACGUGAGUUCUAGCGGAAGUUCGAUCGUCCCAAAAUGACGAUGAAACGCUUUACGGGCAAUGGUCACCAUUUCCCUGCCAUACUUUUCCUCUGCUGCCGCCCUGUGCAUUACAGUUCUGGCAGACUCCUUAUUCCCAAACCUGAAGUCCAGCGUGCUCUGCGUCUCCCAGGAGGUGUGCCCAGUACUCCCGGCUCUCCAGGCAAGAACUCCCUCAGCUCACUUUCAAGUGCUUCCUUCAUGGUGCCCUUUUGUUGAGCCCCUUGACUCCCGCACCAUCGCCUUUAGUUCAGCCUGUAUUUAAUUAAAGACUUGCUUACCUGUCCACCUGCCUCCCGCCUCUGCAUUUGGGGUCCAACGCCCGCCGAACAUAACAUCAACAGCUGAUAUUAAACUCACAAGACGAGAUUAGUUCCACGGGACGAGACAGGAUUUUAACAUUAAUUUUAAGAAGUACAAUCAGAAAAUAUGACUAGACAAACAAGCUUUGUUUAAUUUAACAAUUUAAUCACAAAACAAUGCAGGUGUGUUUUGAAAUGUUUAUUGUCCUACAAGUUGAUGCUAAACAUCAUUCUCAGCAUUUUUUGAGACCAAAUAAAUCACAAAUGUUAUAAUAUAUGAUAAUGUAUCAUCAUAAUGCAACAUUUCCUUUAAUAUGUCAUCUUUCACUCUGUAAAGUUGUGGAAUUGCUGUUAAUGACAUGUAUUUUCUUACAGGCAAUUUGUACUGUCUAUAAAAUGUUUGCAGCAUUUCUUGAUAUGCUGGCUUUUCAAUUGUAUUAAUGAGCAGCAUUAGUAUUAGGCAGUCCUGGGUGAUAAACCGAAAAUUUACUACGAUAUCCGACGUCAUUUUGCCCAUGUAGAUAAAUUCGGUAUUUUAAUAAAAAAGAAAAGUCUUUUUUGUCUGUUUUGACUGUGUGUGCUGGUAUGCUGUGUUCAUUCCCCUUUAAGACGCGGUACAGCUUGUGUAGUCACGUGACUCCACCC